ensembl:lncRNA
CGACCAGGGGAGCAGUCCCCGCUGCUGCACCUGGACCUGUACAACUUCGACUGCGCGGCGGCGGAGGGCAGCCGGCAGUGCCAGCGCUGUGCUCCACCAUCCGUGACACUGUGCUGGGUUGCUGUGGUGAUAGCUGUCAAACCUGGAGCAAGGGAGAGAAGCAGCAGGAAGAGCCAGGUUCUCAUUUCCUUGCAGAUGUCUCUGAUGUAAAACACAGGGGAAGAGGAAGCCAGAAGACGGUUGAUAUACGACACAGGCAUGCAGUGUCACAUGCAUAGAUCCCUUGCCUCUCGGAAGGCUCUAAAGAAAGUAUUAAACGAAUGGCAACAACAGCAGUUGAGCAAGCACACUCUGGUACCCUGCAAGGCUGGAGACACUGUAAAAGGAGUGUUGGAAAUGAAGAAAUCUGAUGAAACUUGCUCUCUUUGAAUCACAGAGCGAUUGGCGCUGUGGGUGCAGAUGGCACAAAAAGCAAGAAGUGGGACACCUGAGUUAUGCUAGCUCAGUUGUUGACUUGCUGUGUAACACCAGGCAUGUCCUUGUGGGCUGGCCCUGCUCCCAUGGAUAUAAAAGGAAGCAGAAUCGGACUCUUGGGAUUGAUGCGGCUCACAGGAAAUAGUAAUGCAUGGCUUAGCAAAGCACUUCCAGGGCUUUGGUUGAACGAUGCUAACAAAGCACAAAGUACUGAUUUAUUUAUUUGUUUGUUUGAGGUGUUACUAAAAAAGCACAUCCGUUGGUGAAAAUGGUCAGGUGACACCAAAGCCUAAAAAAUGCACAGCUGUGAGAAGGACAGUGGUGCUGGUGUUUCCAGCUAGGAGCCUGUCACUUCACUCUCUUCCUUGAAACUACAAGUGAUUUGAAAAGAGAAAGCAAUCCUGCUGUCCUGCUGUGCCACCAGUCGUGUUCAUGCGUUGUUUAUACUGCAGUGUGUAACGCGAUGGGCAGAUGACUGGACACAGCCACUGUCAUUUUUUCCCUUAGCGCUGCAUUGUACCCUCUGACGUUACAUUUCCAGUGCAGAUCAAGAACACUUCUACAGCCCAGGAGAGACGCCUUGGCCACUGACUGUAAUUACACCUGGAGUCCGUGUCUUGCUGCUGACUGAGUUUGACAUCUUGGGGCUACAGCCAAACUAAUCAAAACACACCUCCGUGGUGGUAAUUGGAUUGGCUGACUGCUGUUCCUAUUCUGCGCAGUGUGCAGCUUGAGUUUUGAAUGUGCGACCUUUGGAAAAAAAAAAAAAAGUAUUUUUUUUCAAAAGACACAAAUUUGUGUAUGGACUUUUUUCGUUUCUGUAGAUAUUCCAGUACAAAGCUUGUGAGAGUCAGUGGAGUUUAUAGCUGUUUAAAGUUGUGACGUGGAAAAUGAAGUCAGCUAGUUGGGUGGAGCCGUGAGGGGCGUUUCGUGGGUCUGCUUAUGCUUCUGUUUAUUUGGGGAGUCCGACUGCUGGAUUUCUAUGGAAAUUGAAAGUAAGCCCUGAGAUGCAUGCAAAACACACGGCAUUUUUAGAUGAGGCUUAUUUUGUAUUUGUGAUACUGAGCUGCAGGCCAGGGAGAACUGAGAAGCAAAGCAAGUAGCACAUUAUCUGGUUGCUCAGAGUAGAUCACAGCUUAUUCAAGGUGCAGGAGGAACCGAUAACAUUUGUUCAGGUCCUACAGAAAGAUAGUUUGAAGAGUUUCUGAAGUUGAGAUAUUGCAACACUGGGGAGAGAGACUCCAUUAUCAUCUAAAUGUUAAAAAAAGAAUCAGUGAGACCAAGUCUUGAGGUUCGUUUUCAGCUAAAGCUGGAGGCCUUCAGUGCUGAUAAAAGUUCCAGUACUCUGUCUCUUCUGAAUGCUACCUCUUAGCAAAAGAUUCAUCUCUAAACUAUGAUCUCUCUGUCAAGGUUGUAUUUGUCAGACACAUUCAAAAGCUAUUAGGAGGCACAGCUGCACC